AGCGAACGUUAGCGGCGGGCCUAACACAUGCAAGUCGAGCGAGAAAGUGGCUUCGGCCAUCAGUAAAGCGGCGGACGGGUGAGUAACACGUAGGUAAUCUUCCCUUGAGCGGGGGACAACGUUUCGAAAGGAACGCUAAUACCGCAUAAGUUUCCGAGGACUCUGGUUCUUGGAAGGAAAGCUAGGUCGCAAGAUCCGGCACUCGAGGAGGAGCCUGCGUCGCAUCAGCUAGUUGGGGGGUAAUGGCCUACCAAGGCGAAGACGCGUAGCUGGUCUGAGAGGAUGAUCAGCCACACUGGGACUGAGACACGGCCCAGACUCCUACGGGAGGCAGCAGUGGGGAAUAUUGGACAAUGGGCGCAAGCCUGAUCCAGCCACGCCGCGUGAGUGAUGAAGGCC
rnacentral:rRNA from 1 species